rnacentral:rRNA from 1 species
AUUGAACGCUGGCGGCAGGCCUAACACAUGCAAGUCGAGCGGAGCGGCGGACGGGUGAGUAAUGCCUAGGAAUCUGCCUGGUAGUGGGGGAUAACGUCCGGAAACGGGCGCUAAUACCGCAUACUAUCAGAUGAGCCUAGGUCGGUUUAGCGAGUUGGUGGGGUAAAGGCCUACCAAGGCGACGAUCCGUAACUGGUCUGAGAGGAUGAUCAGUCACACUGGAACUGGACCACGGUCCAGAGUCAUACGGGGGGCAGGAGUGGGGAAUAUUGGACAAUAAGCGAAAGCCUGAUCCAGCCAUGCCGAGUGUGUGAAGAAGGUCUUCGGAUUGUAAAGCACUUUAAGUUGGGAGGUGUGACCAACAGAAUAAGCACCGGCUAACUUCGUGCCAGCAACCGCGGUAAUAC